AUUGAACGCUGGCGGCAGGCCUAACACAUGCAAGUCGAGCGAGCGGCGUACGGGUGAGUAAUGUAUGGGGACUGCCCGAUAGAGGGGGAUAACUACUGGAAACGGUGGCUAAUUCCGCAUACUAUCGGAUAACCCAUAUGGGAUAAGCUAGUAGGUGGGGUAAAGGCUCACCUAGGCGCCGAUCUCUAGCUGGUUGGAGAGGAUGAUCAGCCACACUGGGAAUGAGACACGGCCCAGACUCCGACGGAGGCAGCAGGGGGGAAUAUGGCACAAUGGGGGCAAGCCUGAUGCAGCCACGCCGCGUGUAUGAAGAAGGCCGUAGGGUUGUAAAGUACUUUCAGCGGGGAGGCGUUACCCGCAGAAGAAGCACCGGCUAACUCCGUGCCAGCCGCCGCGGUAAUUC
rnacentral:rRNA from 1 species